rnacentral:rRNA from 1 species
UACGAGGGGGGCGAGCGUUGUUCGGAAUUAUUGGGCGUAAAGGGUGCGUAGGUGGCAAAGUAAGUUGGAUGUGAAAUCCUGGGGCUUAACCUCAGAAUUGCAUUCAAUACUGCUUAGCUAGAGAGCUGUAGAGGAGACUGGAAUUUACGGUGUAGCAGUGAAAUGCGUAGAUAUCGUAAGGAACGCCAGUGGCGAAAGCGAGUCUCUGGGCAGCAUCUGACACUGAGGCACGAAGGCCAGGGGAGCAAACGGG